CUCAUUAUCAACUGCCGGCAGCACAGCUGAGUUAGCAACUUGGUCCAAAAAUGAUUCCUUGUCAUCACAACAACGCCCACAGACUGGCACCUCCUCUGGAUCCCAGCUCCUCUCUGGGCCAACAUAAGCCCUGCAUACCAAGGAGGGACCACUUGUGUUUACCUCUCCCUACCAGCACAGACUGACGGCAGACUCAGGGUCCUCUCCUUUCCCUCUGUGGUUUCUGGCAGCCAGCACCAGAUUCCUCCAUGUCUAUCACUGUAAUCAGCAGGCCAGACCUGCAGUCAGCCAAGCAACUUGAAACAAAGCAGCAUGAACGGCUGAACAUAAAACCUUUGGAGACGCCAAUCUUAGACUGUCUGAAUGACCGGCAGCACAUCACUCACUGUCAGCUCUCCUGAGCCUCAUCCACAACCCCCCGGCUCACCUAAUUCCCACCUAGUGCCAACGUCCCACACUACUUGGUCAAGGAUUGAGAGGAAAGCCGUAAAAAAGUCAGAGAAU